UACAGAGGUCCCGAGCGUUGUUCGGAUUCACUGGGCGUAAAGGGUGCGUGGGUGGUCGUGUAAGUCUGACGUGAAAUCUCCGAGCUUAACUCGGAAAUGGCGUUGGAUACUAUUCGGCUGGAGGGUUGGAAGGGGGACUGGAAUUCUCGGUGUAGCAGUGAAAUGCGUAGAUAUCGAGAGGAACACCGGUGGCGAAGGCGAGUCCCUGGACAAUUCCUGACACUGAGGCACGAAAGCUAGGGGAGCAAACAGG
rnacentral:rRNA from 1 species